rnacentral:misc_RNA from 1 species
GAUGAAGAACGCAGCGAAAUGCGAUAAGUAAUGUGAAUUGCAGAAUUCAGUGAAUCAUCGAAUCUUUGAACGCACAUUGCGCCCAUUAGCAUUCUAGUGGGCAUGCCUGUUCGAGCGUCAUUACAACCCUCAGGCCCCCGGGCCUGGCGUUGGGGAUCGGCGGAAGCCCCCUGCGGGCACAACGCCGUCCCCCAAAUACAGUGGCGGUCCCGCCGCAGCUUCCAUUGCGUAGUAGCUAACACCUCGCAACUGGAGAGCGGCGCGGCCACGCCGUAAAACACCCAACUUCUGAAUGUUGACCUCGAAUCAGGUAGGAAUACCCGCUGAACUUAAGCAUAUCAAUAAGCGGAGGA